ACUGCUCAGUACGAACGCUGGCGGCGUGCCUAAUACAUGCAAGUCGAGCGGACAGAAGGGAGCUUGCUCCCGGAUGUUAGCGGCGGACGGGUGAGUAACACGUGGGUAACCUGCCUGUAAGACUGGGAUAACUCCGGGAAACCGGAGCUAAUACCGGAUAGUUCCUUGAACCGCAUGGUUCAAGGAUGAAAGACGGUUUCGGCUGUCACUUACAGAUGGACCCGCGGCGCAUUAGCUAGUUGGUGGGGUAAUGGCUCACCAAGGCGACGAUGCGUAGCCGACCUGAGAGGGUGAUCGGCCACACCUGGGGACUGAGACACGGCCCAGACUCCUACGGGAGGCAGCAGUAGUAGGGAAUCUUCGCAAUGGACGAAAGUCUCCGGGGCAACGCCGCGUGCGGUUUGGGGGCUAGUUUAAAGUCUGUUGUUAGGGAAGAACAAGUGCGAGAGUAACUGCUCGCACCUUGACGGUACCUAACCAGAAAGCCACGGCUAACUACGUGCCAGCAGCCGCGGUAAUACGUAGGUGGCAAGCGUUGUCCGGAAUUAUUGGGCGUAAAGGGCUCGCAGGCGGUUUCUUAAGUCUGAUGUGAAAGCCCCCGGCUCAACCGGGGAGGGUCAUUGGAAACUGGGAAACUUGAGUGCAGAAGAGGAGAGUGGAAUUCCACGUGUAGCGGUGAAAUGCGUAGAGAUGUGGAGGAACACCAGUGGCGAAGGCGACUCUCUGGUCUGUAACUGACGCUGAGGAGCGAAAGCGUGGGGAGCGAACAGGAUUAGAUACCCUGGUAGUCCACGCCGUAAACGAUGAGUGCUAAGUGUUAGGGGGUUUCCGCCCCUUAGUGCUGCAGCUAACGCAUUAAGCACUCCGCCUGGGGAGUACGGUCGCAAGACUGAAACUCAAAGGAAUUGACGGGGGCCCGCACAAGCGGUGGAGCAUGUGGUUUAAUUCGAAGCAACGCGAAGAACCUUACCAGGUCUUGACAUCCUCUGACAACCCUAGAGAUAGGGCUUUCCCUUCGGGGACAGAGUGACAGGUGGUGCAUGGUUGUCGUCAGCUCGUGUCGUGAGAUGUUGGGUUAAGUCCCGCAACGAGCGCAACCCUUGAUCUUAGUUGCCAGCAUUCAGUUGGGCACUCUAAGGUGACUGCCGGUGACAAACCGGAGGAAGGUGGGGAUGACGUCAAAUCAUCAUGCCCCUUAUGACCUGGGCUACACACGUGCUACAAUG
rnacentral:rRNA from 2 species